AGUUUGUUAAUAUGGAAGAUGUCAGAAAAAUGAAAAACUCAGAAACCUUGAUCAAGGCAUCAAGACAACAGGACACAUCAUUUUGACAUAGGAAUUUUUAUAGAUCGCAUGGGACUGGCAGUACUCCAGAAUUAGUUCCAGGCUGAAAUCCCUUGUGAUUAUAUAACAGCUCUCAAGAGGAAGCUGCUAACAAGACCAUCUGACAUUUUUUUGCCAGCUGUUUUAGUGGAGGCGUGUUGGAUUAGACUGAGCUCCACCUUCUCUGAUGAGCAAAGCAUUUGGAAAAUGACAGAGCCUGAAGAAAAAGGAAUUUCAAAAUCUGGCUCCCCAUUUUCUCCUGAGCAGGUCUGCUCUUCUACAUGUGUGGACAAGUAG
rnacentral:lncRNA from 1 species